AUAGGGUGGCGUUUAGGUGGACCUUAAGCAACUGCUUCAGGAGACAAAAUGUGAGUGGAAAAGAUACAUACAAACACGAGACCUGACCAGCUUGAGAACCAUGACAGAAGAACCCAGGAACCACCAAAGCUCCAGCCUGCCAUGAACUGUAAACUGCUGGAACACCAGCGUCACUGUCCACAGGACUGUCCAAGCUCCUACCACCAGAAUGAGUGUGUGUUAGGCCACAACUGUUUCAUUACAAAACCACACUCCAUAGGAAAGGAAAGGUUGAUCGUUACAGUCAGAAAAGACUAUGUUUAACCUUCCCUCCACUCCAUUUCUGAUGCUCAGAAAUGGCAGCCUUUUCCUUCCUGUCGCCGCUCAUCCUUGGAGCAGAAAUGCCAGCGAACACUGAGAGGGCUCUCUCUGUACCUCCGUCCCUCUGACCUCCAAGAAGUUGAAAGAGAGACGAUGCAGAGCUCGGAGUCAGAGUGGAGGAUGAUGGAAAUCUCUAAGCAGCGUAAUGGUAUUGACCUCCUCUACAGAAAGAAAACAAAUAUCUGCCAGGAUUGUAUAUUGUAUGUGGCCUCUGCUAACCCAUACUGUAUAGGUCUGAGAACUGGGAAUUGGUUCCAGUUAAAAUCCAAAUUGUCCAUUCUAUAGGAAUUAAAAGCCUCCAAGCUUAUCAGUUCUUCCUAUCAAUGCCGGCAUACUUGCACCUUUAUUUACUCUGUUACUCUGCAACCUUACAGAAGUCAAUGAAG